rnacentral:lncRNA from 1 species
ACCUGACUGACCAGAGAAUAGGGAAACUCUGGUGGGGUGUGGGCAUCUUUUUCCUUCCGUUCUUCCCCAGGGCCCUAGGCCCCCCACCCCUUUUUAUUUUGUUCCCAGCACUAAGUCAGAAGUAACUUUCAAGGACUAGUGACUCAAGGUGAUUUUAAGCAACUACCAUAGAUAAGCAUUUGACAAGGAACUAAAUCUUAGCAUGUGGCUGGAUAAGUGUGUGUGCAUGUAUAUGCACACCAUAUAAAUGUGUAUAUAUAACCCAAUCCAAUAAUUCAUUCUAGCUAGGUUAAAGGAAUAAGUGUAGCACCAAAAUAAGCAUCUUUUAUCUUCUGUAAUAAUCAUUUUCUUAAAGUUUUGUUGAAACCUAUUUGUUUCCAUGAAUCCUUUUCUCAGUAAACCUAAGUGCCUUAUAACGGACCAGUCUAGGUGUCCAGCAACAGCGGAAUUGUGGUAAGCUGAGAGAAAAUGGCGCCCAUAGACUCAUGGGGAGUGGCAUCAUUGGAGGUGUAGUUUUGUUGGAGGAAGUGUGUCACUGGGAGGUGGGCUUUGAGGUUUCAGAUGCUCAAGCCAGGUCCAGUAGCUCACUCUCUUCCCAAUCAUAUCAGGGUGUACAACCCUCCGCUACUUCUCCAGCACGAUGUCUGCCUGCAUGCUGCCAUGCUGCCCUCCAUGAUGACAAUGGACUAAACCUCCAAACUCUUCACAGCAAUAAAACCACAACUACAACCAGAGUGGAUGAGGAGCAUGGGUGCAUAUACAAUGGAAACUCUUUCAGACAUAAAUAAGGAUGGGGGUCAUGGUGUUUACAAGAAAUGGGUACAGCUGAGACAGUCACAUUAAUGAAGGAAGGCUUUCUCAGGAAGGCAAAUAUGUUUUCUCUCAUAUGUGACUCCUAGACUUUAUAUAGCUAUAUAAAAUCAUGUAUGCACAUAUUGGGUGAAAGUAGAAGUAAAAUUGUCUAGGGGACUAACAGUAGGAGAGGUGAUAAAAUGUAUGAUAGGAGGAAUGAAGUAAAAGUGGGGGCGGGUUAUGCCUAACAUACACCAUGUACCUAUAAGAAAAAAUUUAAGUGUAAAAUGUGAGUACGUUAUUUUCUAAGGUUGCCUAUGCCCUAUUUACCUGUCAAGGUUCAUGCAUCCGGUGCUAGAUCAUAAAGUAUUAAUUUGCAUGAUUUUUAAAAGAUUUCUCUCAAAGAAAAUGGUAAUAUCCUUAAUAUUAGGGAGCAUGUUUUCCAUCUACUUAUUUGAUGGCUUAUUGAUGCACAUAAAAUACCCUCAGUUGACUAUCAAGGGUUUACCCUGCGCUUUCCUAUUUAUUUCCCAUCUUUAGAUCAUUUCUGCUUGGUGCCAGUUUGACUAAAGUGUGGAUGAUAUGAAAAAUAGCAAAAACCAAUCAAACAAAAAAUAAAACACUUCCACCCCCAAACUCAAAUCUAAUGAAUACGUGAUGAGAUUUUGAAGCAAGCUAACAUUUGUUCUAUCUGUGGACUCAAGUCAUUUCAUUCCCUAAGUGAGCCCAUUAUGAUGAAACUGUGAGCAGCCUUUACUAGGACUGCACCAAUGUCUUGGUUAUCUAUUAAUAUGGACCAGUCAAAAGCACUUCUCUGCUCUUUUGAACUCCAGAUGUAUGUAUGUCUGAGAGUGAGUCAACCUUUUCUCUUCCCUAUUUCCUUCUCUAUGGAAUCCAGUGCAAACAUCAGUUUGUUCUCUGAUGCCUAUCCAUUCAUUCUGCUUAUCCAUUCAUUCUGCCUAUCCUUCCAUUCUGCUUAUCCAUUCAUUCUUCCUAUCCAUUCAUUCUGCCUAUCCUUCCAUUCUGCUUAUCCAUUCAUUCUGCCUAUCCUUCCAUUCUGCCUAUCCAUUCAUUCUGCCUAUUCAUCCAUUCUGCCUAUCCAUCCACUCUGUCUAUCCACUCAUUCUGCCUAUCCAUCCACUCUGCCUAUCCAUUCAUUCUUUCCCUUAUUAGUGUCUUCUUUAUAUAUGCAUAAAAGUUUUAUAGCAUCUUCCUAUGAUAAUAUAAGAAAUUUCAAUACUUUCUAUACAGUUUGCAUGAAAUCUCUAUGUUUGGAACAAAAGCAAAACUGAAGGUCUUGCCAUCUUACCACAGUAGAAAGAGUUAAGAGAUAUUUGUACUUAGGGACUUUUGAGAUCAUUAGCCAUAGGAGCUGAGCUGUACUAUGAAAUAAACAUUAUUUCAUUUGCAAGUCUCAUUUUACCCAAGAACUUUGUCUUCUUCUGGACUAGAUCUAGAUCUAUCACAGUGAGCACACCGACUUAAUAGAAAAAUCACCCUUGAGGUAUAGACUUGGACUAACAGGCUAAGCCCUCAGACAAGAUUAAGCCUGGAUGCAAAAUAGGACUGGUUGGCUAAUGGCAAUAAUUGAAAAUUAUGGAAAGCAUGAAAAACAUGGGAAUUUGAAAGGCCAAGUGUGGUGAUGCACGCCUGUAAUUCCCAGCACUUGGGAGGUAGAGGGCAGGAGGACCAGGGGUUUAAGUCUAGUUUUAGCUUUGCAAGGAGUUUGAGGCAACAAGCAAACAAGCAAACAAGC